rnacentral:sRNA from 1 species
AAUCAAUGUCGAUCGCAAGCCCGCUGCUCUC